GACGAACGCUGGCGGCGUGCCUAAUACAUGCAAGUCGAACGCUUCUUUCCUCCCGAGUGCUUGCACUCCAUUGGAAAGAGGAGUGGCGGACGGGUGAGUAACACGUGGGUAACCUACCCAUCAGAGGGGGAUAACACUUGGAAACAGGUGCUAAUACCGCAUAACAGUUUAUGCCGCAUGGCAUAAGAGUGAAAGGCGCUUUCGGGUGUCGCUGAUGGAUGGACCCGCGGUGCAUUAGCUAGUUGGUGAGGUAACGGCUCACCAAGGCCACGAUGCAUAGGCGGACCUGAGGGGGGAAUGGGCACCACGGGGAUUGACAACCGCCCCAGCUCCUGCGGGGGGGCAGGAGUGGGGAAUUUGCGGCAAGGGGAGAAAUUCUGACCGAGCAACGCCGCGUGGGUGAAGAAGUGUUUCGGUUCGUAAAACUUUGUUGUAGGAAAAGAACAGGGGCGUUAGAAACGAAACGUCCCCUGACGGUAUCGAAACAAAAAGCCCCGGCAAACUAGGU
rnacentral:rRNA from 1 species